rnacentral:lncRNA from 1 species
UUACUGUUGAACUUUCCUCACCUUGUGCAAAGUGCAUGAAGAACACUUCAUACACACAUAAUUGUGUGUGGCAGGUGGGGUGGGAGGGGAUUACAGAAAAUCAAAUGGGUAAAACUCAUUCAGGAGGAGGGAGCAGAAAGUAUGGGAGAAGAUGUGUAGCUAGAUUUGGUCAUGGAGGAAAUUAUUGCUCCAUUCUAUGUCUGGUGGAAGCAAGACCUUCAAUAACCCCCACAGCCUAGGGAUAAAGUGGGGGUGUACUAGGGCACAGAUCUAAUGACCGGUCAUACAAGCAGAUACAACGGUGCUGUCAGGGCUCAGUGGGAUAGGUCAGAUGGUCAGGGAAAUCAGCAGUGAGAAGAAAGACUGUAGGCUUUGGGGUCAGAAACGUGAGUUAUGAAUUCAGCUCUUCUGCUUACUAGCUGUGUGCCCUUGGGGAAAUUGUUGAACUUCCAUGAAAUGGUUUUCUUCCCUCUGAAAUGGAGAAAAUGAUAUCUUUGUUUUUGUGCGAAGUAAAUGGGUCAGGGCAUAUAUAUAACAUGACAGAUGAAGACACAUAAUUAGUCUGACUAGAGCCAGAUGAAGCUCAUCUAAGUUUGUUAAUCUUUGCUUCUCCAGUAUCUGCCAUUUAGAAUGUGCCCACAACUGCCAAAUCAAUAAUAGAAUAAAGCAAGGGGAAUCCCUGAGUCUUCAUGGAGUAAGAGCCACACCUUCUUAAGGGGAUCAAGGGGCAAGGUGACUUGAAGACAAUAUUAUCAUGAUAAAUAAGGAAAUAAGGGAAAGUGUGGAAGGUUUUCAUCUCAAUGGACAUGAAAAAGGCCAGAAAGGGGAAGAAUGGCACACUCAAUUUUUCUAAGCUGGGAAAGGAAAUGGAGUGCUGAAUGUAUGUGUGUGUGCGUGUGUGCGCAUGCACAAUGCAUCUUGGCUAAUGAAAUGUACACAAGAGAAGUGUCAACAUAUUGAAAUGUACUCUUCCUUUUGUUUUACAUCUAUCCCCGAAGUGUGCAUUAUUAGAGUGCAUUUAAUAAGCCAGGAUUAUCACCUAGAGUUGCAGAGCAAGACAAAGCAAGUAGAGUCGGUAUCUGGAGACCUUUUUGCAAAGAAGACCAGGCCAGACAGCUGGCAUACAAUGCUGCUGGAAUUCAAACUUUGA